CUACAAUAAAUCUUGUGGAAGCCACAAUACCAGUCUUCAUGAGGCCGGCUGCUGCAGAGGUCACGUGGGGUCUCUAGCUCCUUUGGCUCAUCUUUUUGGCUGAGGGUUCAAGAUAGCUGAGAGAACCAGGAUCAACUGUCUCCCUCCACCACUUCUUUCUGAGUGUCUUGAAGAGUUGGAGAGACAACUUAGUCAUUAAAAGGGUCAAAAUUUGUAACGUGGACAAAACCAGAGAGGGUUUUGCUCCUGGUUUCCAAGGUGUCGACAAUCACAGCAAGCAAGUGGGCAGCGUGGAACCGAGCAGUUCACACCAUGGAAGACAAGGAAACAGGAAAGAGCU